rnacentral:rRNA from 1 species
CUAGCGGCAGGCCUAACACAUGCAAGUCGAGGGGCAUCACGGGUAGCAAUACUGGUGGCGACCGGCGCACGGGUGAGUAACGCGUAUGCAACCUACCUAUAACAGGGGGAUAGCCCGGAGAAAUUCGGAUUAAAACCGCAUAAUAUUGCGAUAUCGCAUGAUAAUGCAAUAAAAAGCUUCGGUGGUUAUAGAUGGGCAUGCGUGACAUUAGCUAGUUGGUGAGGUAACGGCUCACCAAGGCAGCGAUGUCUAGGGGGCCUGAGAGGGUAGUCCCCCACACUGGUACUGAGACACGGACCAGACUCCUACGGGAGGCAGCAGUGAGGAAUAUUGCGCAAUGGACGAAAGUCUGACGCAGCCAUGCCGCGUGCAGGAUGACGGCCCUAUGGGUUGUAAACUGCUUUUGUGUAGGAAGAAACUCAACUACGUGUAGUUGACUGACGGUACUAUAUGAAUAAGCAUCGGCUAACUCCGUGCCAGCAGCUGC